UGGUAUCGCCAGUUUUAUUUUAUCGGAGUGCUUCUACGUGCCGAUAAAAGGAGGAUUUCGCGAGCUUACUGGCAGUCCGAGAAGAUAAUACUGGGGAUCUCUUUGCCACGGUAAAUUCACGACCUCGACCUCGUACAUAGAAUCGACCUACUUCGCGAACUACGUAUCCAGACUCACUGUAAUUUACGAUCAGCUGAAAUACACUCACGAAUGGAUACUUCAAUGAUGCUCACGGAUAACUGGCGUGGCUCCUGACGAAUGGGUUUUCUAUACUGCGUACAGAGAGACCGAGAUUGUCGCUUGAUACCAGGGACACCAAACAGUCGCUGAUAUUUUUCGUUUUAUGAUAUUCUGACGAUGGCUACUAGUUGUGGAGAAAACUUAGGAAGGGGGCGCAAAGGGUUGAACGGAGUAUAGGUAGAUGAUGGGUGGCAUGGAAGCACGACGGGUUGUCGCGUAGGGCGGACGUGCGGCCGCCAGGCCAUUUGCUCUGCGGUCUCUUGAUUCCCAGCGACCAAAUUUUCAUCUGUACUCAUUCAAGUUUUAAUGUGUUUUUGCGGCAUCAGUCAUUCAAACUUAAUCAGUAACUGGCUCCGGGGCGCGCGCGGGCUUCUGUAUAUCUAUAUGCGUAUGUAUAUGAGAGAAUUGGUCGAGUAUUCUGUAUGACGGGGACCGUAUUAAUUAUAACUCUGGUCAGAGGAACGUCAAGAGAUGCGUUCACGGAUACCUACAAUAAAUUGUCGGUUUACCGACAAAUCUCAUUUCCAACCCUCGACAUUUUUACCCUCGUUAUUCUUGCAUAUCCAUUGACUGCUUUGUCAAAUCGGUAUUUUACCAAUAAUCGCAUAUCCAUAACGGGCUGUCUAUCGCUAGUCGAAUUAUUAUUAUAUAUAAUGUUCAUUUCUUUUAUUUUUCUUAAAAAACUAAGCGUUCCACGAUUCCCUUUGUACUGCGGCUAAUGCGAAUUCGUAGUUAAGGGUUUGUCUUCCAGGCGGUUUAAACUUUUGGCUAAGUGUCCAACGAAUACCAGGGACAUUCGUUCAUCCGUCGGAAAUUCCUAUAUCGCGAGGUCCCACAGUUCGCGGACUGAAGAGAAAGUGUUAGCGUGACGUUAGAGAAGUGGAAUAAAUCGUGAGUGGAGCAGGAAGCAAAAGAGAAUGAAUGUGCGUGAGAGAGAAAAAGAGAAGAAGGGUGUUAAAGGGCAAACGAAAGCAAGGAAAUAGAAAGCGCAGGAUGUGUAUAUAUUGUAUAUGUAUAUAUAUGCAUAUAUAUGCGUGCAUAUAGAGUGAGUGCAUAUAGUAAAGAGCGAAGAGGAGAGUACCAGUUGGAGCACCAUAGAGAAAUAAGGAUGGAGGAUGAAAUGACGAAGGUAUGGGGAAGCCAAGUGCAAGAGAGAGUGAGCUUGCAAGGGGUGGCUACGAAGGGGUAGGAGAGGACGACGCUUGUGUUUUAUUAAGUGCGUCGUAGGGAAAAAGCGCGAGGCAAUUUUCAGGUGCUAAAGCGAGCACUGAUAACGCGGAACCGCAUUUGAAACAGUCCGUUACAUUUUUCCAGCCAUUAUUUUUCCGCCUAGACGCGACUCUUCCAUUCCCACGUUUUCCACCCUCUAGCUGCUAUUUUCCGUCUCCCGUUUCUACCCUAGGACUCUCGGCCAGAUUGGCUUUCCCCGGAUUUUCCCGGGACUUGUUGCGUUUCGUAUACCUGCGAGCUUUCAGCCCGAUACCUUGUACGCUGAGUUCCCCAGUGUCGAGCUGUCUUAUCAUCUUCCUAUCGUAUUGCUGUAUGUUUAUAAGCAGCGCCGGCGCCUUGAAAUUUUAUAUACGAUAUCGCGUGGCUAGAUAGCGACCGAUUCUUUUUGUUUAGCCAAGGGAUUGAGAGAAAAAGUAUAAAAAUACACGGAGAACGGGGAUUGCGGACAAAGUGAAAAUUAAUAUUCAAUCGCAUUAACGAAUCGUUGGCGACGCCAUCAGCGACAGGGACGUACCUAUACACGGUUUUAUGGUUCCACGGUUUCUAUCGACUGCAACCACCCCCCCGCGCCAAUUCGGAUGCCGUUUCCCAACCCCCUCGCGUACGUUCACAUCGGCGGCGACGUCGAUGGCGAGGGUGUGGAGGGACCAGAAAUGCGCGGCCCGACGCCAAAUGAAAAUACCGAAGGACAAUGGAAAUACUAAUGAUUGAUUGGAUACGAAAAAGAAUUAUAAUUGAAAAAAACAUGGAGGGUUCUGGGUAAAAAAAAAUAAAACGAACUAUUGGGAAUAAUAUAUCAAUACCUAUCGAAGCCACGCAUACAAAUGUGCCGGGGGUUGGUACUCCUGGACGUUUCACGGACGCUGGUUGGGGAUCGUCGGGUAUGUGCUGGCUAUACUGCUAGACUGAGAGGGUUAGGAUGAGGUUUGGUCCAGAGGAUGGAGAGUUUGAGGCCGUUCGGAAAGAGUAAAAAAUAUUACACUCUCACACAAGCGGCAACCGGCCGAUGAAACGGGCACUAACCAAUACCAAUAGAGGGUGGCACAAAAGAAUCGGCCGUUUCGUGUGUGAAAAACAGAGCCUCAUACAGUAACGGGGCUCAUUGCUUCGAUGGCAUUAUAGCUUUUCAUAUACUCGGUGGCCUUUGAAAUGCAGAAUAAAGGGGUAGUUAACGUCCGAGUCCUGGAGGCCGGCGCCUCUGGUAUCCCAGACAUCCCUCUGCCAAGAACACCCCGAGAACUUUCAUUCUCCCACUUGAUUCUCCACGAUCUACCGAUCAUCCCCUAUUCAUUCAUAAUCGACAAUACACCCUGCCAAAAGUAUAGAGACUUACCAGCCAGCCGGUAUAUACCUCAAAAUUUAACUUACAAAGUCUUAAUGUAUCGCACAGUCAUAAGUCAUUUUUUUUUUUGAAAAAGUUCUAAAAAAAAUUAUCCACAAUUUAUACACAGAGAUUUCACUCUGCUGAUUCUCAGAGGUCAGACGAGUUUUCAAAAAAAAAAAAAAAAGGAAAAAAAUUGUGAAAAAUAACCAAACUUUUUUAUCUAUAGUACAAUGCUAAAGCUCACUCAACGCAUUUCCGUGUCUCACCAUACAGUUCUGUACUACCCUGUAUACCUAUGGACCGCAAGUUCGGGACGAGCAGGCACGUUUAGCAUUUGAAAAAAGCCCUCACACGCUCGCGCGCUUCUCCCCACGCCGAAUCCAUGCACCCGCACAAACAAAAGGCUACAUUUAGCAUUAAAAAAGCACGCGGAGCGUAUAUAACGGCCAGUGGCAGUUCCUCUCAUCUCCGGGCUUCCACGAGUGGACAAGCGACCCUUAUUCGCGCAGUCGGUGUGCCAACGGCAAACGCACGGAAAUGGUUAUAGAGCGCGGAGGAGUACGCCGAGAGAGAAAGACUGAUAACAGAGUGCGAGAGUGGGAUCGGGACAGAAGUGGUUGAUGCAUUGGGACAAACACAUUUGGCAUUAAAACAGCUCCGACACUACGUAUCCUACAGCCCGCGACCCUCCACUAACUCGCUAACGUAAUGUUCGUACGUAAACGUAACGUACGUACAUACCUAUACAGCGCGCAGGGCUGCAGCCCUUGUGUAUGUUAGUAUAUAACUACAUAUAUAGUACACCAUCCUCCUACCUUUUUUCAUCCAGAAGCCACCUCCACAGCCUCCCCCUCACCGGU